AACACGUGAGUAACCUGCCCUUGACUCUGGGAUAAGCGCUAGAAAUGGCGUCUAAUACCGGAUACGAGCUUCAGCCGCAUGGCUAGGAGUUGGAAAGAAUUUUGGUCAAGGAUGGACUCGCGGCCUAUCAGCUAGUUGGUGAGGUAAUGGCUCACCAAGGCGACGACGGGUAGCCGGCCUGAGAGGGUGACCGGCCACACUGGGACUGAGACACGGCCCAGACUCCUACGGGAGGCAGCAGUGGGGAAUAUUGCACAAUGGGCGAAAGCCUGAUGCAGCAACGCCGCGUGAGGGAUGACGGCCUUCGGGUUGUAAACCUCUUUUAGUAGGGAAGAAGCGAAAGUGACGGUACCUGCAGAAAAAGCACCGGCUAACUACGUGCCAGCAGCCGCGGUAAUACGUAGGGUGCAAGCGUUGUCCGGAAUUAUUGGGCGUAAAGAGCUCGUAGGCGGUUUGUCGCGUCUGCUGUGAAAUCUGGGGGCUCAACCCCCAGCCUGCAGUGGGUACGGGCAGACUAGAGUGCGGUAGGGGAGAUUGGAAUUCCUGGUGUAGCGGUGGAAUGCGCAGAUAUCAGGAGGAACACCGAUGGCGAAGGCAGAUCUCUGGGCCGUAACUGACGCUGAGGAGCGAAAGCAUGGGGAGCGAACAGGAUUAGAUACCCUGGUAGUCCAUGCCGUAAACGUUGGGAACUAGAUGUGGGGGCCAUUCCACGGUCUCCGUGUCGCAGCUAACGCAUUAAGUUCCCCGCCUGGGGAGUACGGCCGCAAGGCUAAAACUCAAAGGAAUUGACGGGGGCCCGCACAAGCGGCGGAGCAUGCGGAUUAAUUCGAUGCAACGCGAAGAACCUUACCAAGGCUUGACAUAUACCGGAAACGUCCAGAGAUGGUCGCCCCGCAAGGUCGGUAUACAGGUGGUGCAUGGUUGUCGUCAGCUCGUGUCGUGAGAUGUUGGGUUAAGUCCCGCAACGAGCGCAACCCUCGUUCUAUGUUGCCAGCACGUUAUGGUGGGAACUCAUAGGAGACUGCCGGGGUCAACUCGGAGGAAGGUGGGGAUGACGUCAAAUCAUCAUGCCCCUUAUGUCUUGGGCUUCACGCAUGCUACAAUGGCCGGUACAAAGGGCUGCGAUACCGUAAGGUGGAGCGAAUCCCAAAAAGCCGGUCUCAGUUCGGAUUGAGGUCUGCAACUCGACCUCAUGAAGUCGGAGUCGCUAGUAAUCGCAGAUCAGCAACGCUGCGGUGAAUACGUUCCCGGGCCUUGUACACACCGCCCGUCAAGUCAUGAAAGUCGGUAACACCCGAAGCCAGUGGCCUAACCC
rnacentral:rRNA from 1 species